AGCCUUCUCACUUCUUGCCCACACCUCUCAAUCAAAUGGAUGUGGCAAGAAUUGCGCAGGCGGU
rnacentral:pre_miRNA from 1 species